rnacentral:miRNA from 1 species
UUCCCGUCACUGCGACAAGCAGG